rnacentral:rRNA from 1 species
GAUGAACGCUGGCGGCGUGCCUAAUACAUGCAAGUCGAGCGAACAGACGAGGAGCUUGCUCCUCUGACGUUAGCGGCGGACGGGUGAGUAACACGUGGAUAACCUACCUAUAAGACUGGGAUAACUUCGGGAAACCGGAGCUAAUACCGGAUAACAUGUUGAACCGCAUGGUUCAACAGUGAAAGACGGUUUUGCUGUCACUUAUAGAUGGAUCCGCGUCGCAUUAGCUAGUUGGUAAGGUAACGGCUUACCAAGGCAACGAUGCGUAGCCGACCUGAGAGGGUGAUCGACCACACUGGAACUGAGACACGGUCCAGACUCCUACGGGAGGCAGCAGUAGGGAAUCUUCCGCAAUGGGCGAAAGCCUGACGGAGCAACGCCGCGUGAGUGAAGAAGGUCUUCGGAUCGUAAAACUCUGUUAUUAGGGAAGAACAAAUGUGUAAGUAACUAUGCACGUCUUGACGGUACCUAAUCAGAAAGCCACGGCUAACUACGUG